rnacentral:lncRNA from 1 species
AAAGUGCUAAAGCACCCAUAUUAUCUCUGGAGAAGGCUGUGUUGCUUUCCAUGUAGAUUUCAAGCAUUGGGACAGUUGGGCUGUUGUUAAUUUGAUAGGUUUAGAAGCAUUUCAAAAUUGAUGUGUUCCAAGGCUCUCCAACCAAGCAAGUUAUAGUUCACAUAACUUGCUAGUUUCUUACUUAAGCCCCAAACUGAAAUCCUGUGUGUGAGAAAACCAGUUUUUUUUUUAAAUGUCUGUUUCCUUCCCACAUAUAAUUUCAAGAACAGUAAUGAAGAGGUGGUUCUUAUUUUGUAAUCCAUGUCCAUUCAAACAAGCUGCCCUCAUCGUGGGUGAGGUGAGGUGAAGAUGCAAUGACCGGGGACACAGACAAAUAUCUUGGGCCACAGGACCUUAAGGAAUUGGGUGAUGAUUCCCUGCCUGCAGAGGGUUACAUGGGCUUUAGUCUCGGAGCGCGUUCUGCCAGCCUCCGCUCCUUCAGUUCGGAUAGGUCUUACACCUUGAACAGAAGCUCCUAUGCACGGGACAGCAUGAUGAUUGAAGAACUCCUUGUGCCAUCCAAAGAGCAG